rnacentral:rRNA from 1 species
AAACUUAAAGGAAUUGACGGGGGCCCGCACAAGCGGUGGAACAUGUGGUUUAAUUCGACGCAACGCGAAGAACCUUACCAGGGCUUGACAUCCCCUGACCGCGUAUGAAAGUACGUUUUCACCCUCGGGUGACAGGGAGACAGGUGGUGCAUGGUUGUCGUCAGCUCGUGUCGUGAGAUGUUGGGUUAAGUCCCGCAACGAGCGCAACCCCUACGUUUAGUUGCUAACGCGUGAAGGCGAGCACUCUAGACGAACUGCCGUUGACAAAACGGAGGAAGUGGGGAUGACGUCAAGUCCUCAUGGCCUUUAUGCCCAGGGCUACACACGUGCUACAAUGGGCGGUACAAAGAGCAGCGAGCUCGCGAGAGUAAGCAAAUCUCAAAAAGCCGUCCUCAGUUCGGACUGGAGUCUGCAACUCGACUCCAUGAAGUUGGAAUCGCUAGUAAUCGCAGGUCAGCAUACUGCGGUGAAUACGUUCCCGGGUCUU